GAUGAACGCUGGCGGCGUGCCUAAUACAUGCAAGUCGAGCGAACGGACGAGAAGCUUGCUUCUCUGAUGUUAGCGGCGGACGGGUGAGUAACACGUGGAUAACCUACCUAUAAGACUGGGAUAACUUCGGGAAACCGGAGCUAAUACCGGAUAAUAUUUUGAACCGCAUGGUUCAAAAGUGAAAGACGGUCUUGCUGUCACUUAUAGAUGGAUCCGCGCUGCAUUAGCUAGUUGGUAAGGUAACGGCUUACCAAGGCAACGAUGCAUAGCCGACCUGUGAGGGUGAUCGGCCACACUGGAACUGAGACACGGUCCAGACUCCGACGGGAGGCAGCAGUAGGUAAUCUUCCGCAAUGGGCGGAAGCCUGACGGAGCAACGCCGCGUGGGUGAUGAAGGUCUUCGGAUCGUAAAACUCUGUUAUUAGGGAAGAACAUAUGUGUAAGUAACUGUGCACAUCUUGACGGUACCUAAUCAGAAAGCCACGGCUAACUACGUG
rnacentral:rRNA from 1 species